UUUUAUUUAUUGUCGCACUGAUAAUGGCCUUUAACAACAAAAUUGAGCAAUGACUCAAGCAUGCGUGUGUUUUUGGCAGCGAAUUCCGAUGGCCAGUUCGUUCAGUUGAGAGCGAAUCGUGCUUAUCAUUGGAAUUAGACAUUGACCAUGGGGAGACGAAUGUAAUGACUCAUCUGAGUCGUCCCACACGGACAUGCACAACAAGCUCGCCUUACACACACACACACAUACACACACACACACACGCACAGUCGAGCAAACGUUUCGCUGGGGCGGCUUGAGGGUCGCAUUGAAAUACAUAUGUACAUACAUAUGACGCGGCAGCUUAAUUCCAUGUUAUUGGAAUGAUUCAUGCGGCUGAAAUGAAAAGUACGAAAAAAAAAAAGAAAAGAAAAACACACAAAUAAACAAACAAAUUCAAGUGUACGGUGACAGAUUUGCAUAUGAAACAUCGAAGAAAGCAAUGCCAGCUACAACAACAACAAUAACAAUAAACGAGUUGCUAAAAACUAGAAAAACAAUCGAAACUAAUAAUAAAUGUCGUGGUGGAAGCGCUGGAAGUUUAUUUUUUUGUAACAAUAGCCGCUGCUCGCUAUGUAGGUGAACGGUAAACAAAAUAAAUGCGCGAUCCCAAAGUCAACGGCAAAAACAAAAACAGAAAAGCACAAACACACACACACACACAUGCACACCAAACAUACAUACACGACUUGGCGUUUACCGAGCAUGCGAGCGAGCGAGCGAGAGGGCAGACCCGUUCCCGUUGCCCGACAGUUGAGAAAUCAAAUGCGAACAGCUGCCGCGCAGACGCUGAUGGGCGAGCACCUGUAACAACGAGAAGAACAACAGCAGCAGCCACAGCAGCAGCAGCAGCUACAACGACAACAACAGCAACAGCAACAACAGCAACAGCAGCACUGGCGUUAAUGGCAAACGUCUUCGUCUCCCAUUGUUGACAGUUACGUUUGAAAUGUUAAGAAAAACAGAAGUCGAAGCGGCACAAAAUCCGAUAAACUUGUUUUCAAACAACGGAAGAAACUGGCUGCAAAAAAAAACUAAGAAAAUAAACAUACAGCACUGAACAGUCAAA